CUAAGAAUAUUCCGCAAUGGACGAAAGUCUGACGGAGCGACGCCGCGUGGAUGACGAAGGCCGAAAGGUUGUAAAGUCCUUUUGUCGACGAAGAAUAAGUGCGGGAGGGAAUGCCCGUAUGAUGACGUUAGUCGGCGAAUAAGCCCCGGCUAAUUACGUGCCAGCAGCCGCGGUAACACGUAAGGGGCAAGCGUUGUUCGGAAUUAUUGGGCGUAAAGGGUGCGUAGGCGGUUACGUAAGCCCGGCGUGAAAUCCUGGAGCUUAACUCCAGAAUGGCGCCGGGAACUGCGUGACUUGAGUCAUGGAAGGGAAGUUAGAAUUCCAGGUGUAGGGGUGAAAUCUGUAGAUAUCUGGAAGAAUACCGGUGGCGAAGGCGAACUUCUGGCCAAUGACUGACGCUGAGGCACGAAAGUGCGGGGAGCAAACAGG
rnacentral:rRNA from 1 species